rnacentral:rRNA from 1 species
AGAGUUUGAUCCUGGCUCAGGAUGAACGCUAGCGACAGGCUUAACACAUGCAAGUCGAGGGGCAGCGGUGGUGAAGGCUUGCCUUCACCCAGCCGGCGACCGGCGCACGGGUGAGUAACACGUAUGCAACCUGCCUGCCACAGCCGGAUAAUCGGGAGAAAUCCCGUCUAAUACGGCAUAAUGCAUCGACGGGACAUCCUGUUGGUGCCAAAGGUUAAUUCCGGUGGCGGAUGGGCAUGCGUCGCAUUAGUUAGUUGGCGGUGUAACGGACCACCAAGACGACGAUGCGUAGGGGUUCUGAGAGGAAGGUCCCCCACACUGGUACUGAGACACGGACCAGACUCCUACGGGAGGCAGCAGUGAGGAAUAUUGGUCAAUGGGCGGGAGCCUGAACCAGCCAAGUCGCGUGAGGGAUGACGGCUCUAUGGGUUGUAAACCUCUUUUGCCGGGGAGCAAAGUGCCGCACGUGUGCGGUUUGGAGAGUACCCGGAGAAAAAGCAUCGGCUAACUCCGUGCCAGCAGCCGCGGUAAUACGGAGGAUGCGAGCGUUAUCCGGAUUUAUUGGGUUUAAAGGGUGCGUAGGCGGACGCUUAAGUCAGCGGUAAAAUUGCGGGGCUCAACCUCGUCGAGCCGUUGAAACUGGGUGCCUUGAGUGGGCGAGAAGUACGCGGAAUGCGUGGUGUAGCGGUGAAAUGCAUAGAUAUCACGCAGAACUCCGAUUGCGAAGGCAGCGUACCGGCGCCCAACUGACGCUGAAGCACGAAGGCGUGGGUAUCGAACAGGAUUAGAUACCCUGGUAGUCCACGCAGUAAACGAUGAAUGC